rnacentral:rRNA from 1 species
GAUGAACGCUGGCGGCGCGCCUAACACAUGCAAGUCGAACGGCACCCCUCCUCGGGGGGAAGCGAGUGGCGAACGGCUGAGUAACACGUGGAGAACCUGCCCCCUCCCCCGGGAUAGCCGCCCGAAAGGACGGGUAAUACCGGAUACCCCGGGGUGCCGCAUGGCACCCCGGCUAAAGCCCCGACGGGAGGGGAUGGCUCCGCGGCCCAUCAGGUAGACGGCGGGGUGACGGCCCACCGUGCCGACAACGGGUAGCCGGGUUGAGAGACCGACCGGCCAGAUGGGGACUGAGACACGGCCCAGACUCCUACGGGAGGCAGCAGUGGGGAAUCUUGCGCAAUGGGGGGAACCCUGACGCAGCGACGCCGCGUGCGGGACGGAGGCCUUCGGGUCGUAAACCGCUUUCAGCAGGGAAGAGUCAAGACUGUACCUGCAGAAGAAGCCCCGGCUAACUACGUG